GCUCUGUAAGUUUUCGGUUAAAUCUAUAUGCUCAACAUAUAGGCUGCCGGAAAUACUGCAGAGCUAGGAAGUGGGAGAGGUAGACGGUACUCCGUAGGAAGGGGUAAAAUCCUUUGAUCUAUGGAUGACCACCUGUGGCGAAGGCGGUCUACCAGAACACGUUCGACGGUGAGGGAUGAAAGCUGGGGGAGCAAACCGGAUUAGAUACCCGGGUAGUCCCAGCUGUAAACUAUGCAAACUCGGUGAUGCAUUGGCUUGUGGCCAGUGCAGUGCCGCAGGGAAGCCGUUAAGUUUGCCGCCUGGGAAGUACGUACGCAAGUAUGAAACUUAAAGGAAUUGGCGGGGGAGCACCACAAGGGGUGAAGCCUGCGGUUCAAUUGGAGUCAACGCCAGAAAUCUUACCCGGAGAGACAGCAGAAUGAAGGUCAAGCUGAAGACUUUACCAGACAAGCUGAGAAGUGGUGCAUGGCCGUCGCCAGCUCGUGCCGUGAGAUGUCCUGUUAAGUCAGGUAACGAGCGAGAUCCUUGCCUCUAGUUGCCACCAUUACUCUCAGGAGUAGUGGGGCGAAUUAGCGGGACUGCCGUAGUUAAUACGGAGGAAGGAGAGGGCCACGGCAGGUCAGUAUGCCCUGAAACUCUGGGGCCACACGCGGGCUGCAAUGAUAGUGACAAUGGGUUCCGAAUCCGAGAGGAGGAGGUAAUCCUCAAACGCUAUCACAGUUAUGACUGAGGGCUGCAACUCGCCCUCACGAAUAUGGAAUCCCUAGUAACUGCGUGUCAUUACCGCGCGGUGAAUACGUCCCUGCUCCUUGCACACACCGCCCGU
rnacentral:rRNA from 1 species